AGGAAUAUUGGUCAAUGGACGAGAGUCUGAACCAGCCAAGUAGCGUGAAGGAUGACUGCCCUAUGGGUUGUAAACUUCUUUUAUACGGGAAUAAAGUGAGCCACGUGUGGCUUUUUGUAUGUACCGUAUGAAUAAGGAUCGGCUAACUCCGUGCCAGCAGCCGCGGUAAUACGGAGGAUCCGAGCGUUAUCCGGAUUUAUUGGGUUUAAAGGGAGCGUAGGCGGGUUGUUAAGUCAGUUGUGAAAGUUUGCGGCUCAACCGUAAAAUUGCAGUUGAUACUGGCGACCUUGAGUGCAACAGAGGUAGGCGGAAUUCGUGGUGUAGCGGUGAAAUGCUUAGAUAUCACGAAGAACUCCGAUUGCGAAGGCAGCUUACUGGAUUGUAACUGACGCUGAUGCUCGAAAGUGUGGGUAUCAAACAGGAUUAGAUACCCUGGUAGUCCACACAGUAAACGAUGAAUACUCGCUGUUGGCGAUAUACAGUCAGCGGCCAAGCGAAAGCAUUAAGUAUUCCACCUGGGGAGUACGCCGGCAACGGUGAAACUCAAAGGAAUUGACGGGGGCCCGCACAAGCGGAGGAACAUGUGGUUUAAUUCGAUGAUACGCGAGGAACCUUACCCGGGCUUAAAUUGCAACUGACUGAACCGGAAACGGUUCUUUCUUCGGACAGUUGUGAAGGUGCUGCAUGGUUGUCGUCAGCUCGUGCCGUGAGGUGUCGGCUUAAGUGCCAUAACGAGCGCAACCCUUAUCGAUAGUUACUAGCAGGUCAUGCUGAGGACUCUAUUGAGACUGCCGUCGUAAGAUGUGAGGAAGGUGGGGAUGACGUCAAAUCAGCACGGCCCUUACGUCCGGGGCUACACACGUGUUACAAUGGGGGGUACAGAAGGCAGCUACACGGCGACGUGGUGCUAAUCCCGAAAGCCUCUCUCAGUUCGGAUUGGAGUCUGCAACCCGACUCCAUGAAGCUGGAUUCGCUAGUAAUCGCGCAUCAGCCACGGCGCGGUGAAUACGUUCCCG
rnacentral:rRNA from 1 species